AGGCCCAACAGACUUUAGAGAUCGUUUACUCGUUUGAAAGAGUUCCCGAGCACUUGAUAAACUUAUUUGCUCAUCAACUUUAUUUCACUAAUACUACAUUUACACUGUUCGGAAUGUUUCCCCUGGAAUGGUCUAUUUUCGUUACAAUCUCAGCCAGUGGACUGAUGUACGCGUUAUUUCUUAUGCAGUUAAGUACAGGAAAUAAUUAUCUCGUCUUAAUUAGUUAACGGAAUUACCUAUUACCUUUUUCAAGUUUCAAACAUUAACAGAACUCGCUGG